rnacentral:rRNA from 1 species
GACGAACGCUGGCGGCGUGCUUAACACAUGCCAGUCGAACGGAAAGGCCCUGCUUUUGUGGGGUGCUCGAGUGGCGAACGGGUGAGUAACACGUGAGUAACCUGCCCUUGACUCUGGGAUAACUUCAGGAAACUGGGGCUAAUACCGGAUAGGAGCUCCUGCUGCAUGGUGGGGGUUGAAAAGUUUCGGCGGUUGGGGAUGGACUCGCGGCUUAUCAGCUUGUUGGUGGGGUAGUGGCUUACCAAGGCUUUGACGGGUAGCCGGCCUGAGAGGGUGACCGGCCACAUUGGGACUGAGAUACGGCCCAGACUCCUACGGGAGGCAGCAGUGGGGAAUAUUGCACAAUGGGCGGAAGCCUGAUGCAGCAACGCCGCGUGCGGGAUGACGGCCUUCGGGUUGUAAACCGCUUUCGCCUGUGACGAAGCGUGAGUGACGGUAAUGGGUAAAGAAGCACCGGCUAACUACGUG